rnacentral:rRNA from 1 species
UACGUAGGGGGCAAGCGUUAUCCGGAUUUACUGGGUGUAAAGGGUGCGUAGGCGGGCUGUUAAGUCAGCGGUCAAAUGUCGGGGCUCAACCCCGGCCUGCCGUUGAAACUGGCGGCCUCGAGUGGGCGAGAAGUAUGCGGAAUGCGUGGUGUAGCGGUGAAAUGCAUAGAUAUCGCGCAGAACUCCGAUUGCGAAGGCAGCGUACCGGCGCCAGACUGACGCUGAGGCACGAAAGCGUGGGUAUCGAACAGG